rnacentral:lncRNA from 1 species
AGGACCGUUAUUCCAAGUCUGUAAGAUUGUGUGCUCUUUAGGAAGAAAAGAUGGAUCCACCUUGAUUUGUGCACCCAGCAAAACAUCUUCCCAGUAGACAGCUGUUCGGUUCUGCGACAGGAUGUAAGGUAAUGUUGAGUUUAUGUACUUUUCAAGAAGCUGGCUUAGUGUUCCACCAGAAGACAGGAAGGAAUUGAUUGCAGGAUCUGUUUUCCAGCAGCCUGGGAUAACUUCAUCUCCACCGCCAUGGUAGAAAGGUUCAGGGAAUUGCUUAGCAACAUCUUGUAUGACGUUUUUAACAACUUCAUAUGUCUUUGGACUCAGUGGGUUAAGCUGACCAGUGCCAGGUUCACUAGCUAACCGCUCGUCCCAACUUUUUCCAGCAGGCCACCAGAACAUGUUGCCACAUGUGACGAUCUCCGGGUAAGCUUCUCCCCAUGAUCCUGUAUGGCCUGUGAAGUUACCAUUAGAACCAAGCAAAGUUCUUGUACAAAAGCGAAUCAAGCAUUAACUGACUCACCAGGAGUGUCAAUUUCAGGAAGAACUCUAACGCCGUGCUCGAAACCGAACUGAACAAUCUUUGAGACAUCCUCGGGAGUGUAUACCAUGUUUGGUCCAUAAGAUCCCUUUGCAGCGAGUGAAGGUUCAGAAGGAAGUACCAAUGGAAAAGAUUGCGAAUCAGUGAUGU